GAUGAACGCUGGCGGCGUGCCUAACACAUGCAAGUCGAACGAGAAAGCGGGCUUCGGCCCGUGAGUAAAGUGGCAGACGGGUGAGUAACACGUGGGUAACCUGCCCGCGGGUCGGGGGAUAACCCUCCGAAAGGAGGGCUAAUACCGCAUAACAUCCCGAGCCCUUCGGGGCCCGGAGUCAAAGCUUUCCUCUACUUGUAAGCAAGCGCCUGUGGAGGGGCCCGCGCCCCAUUAGCUUGUUGGUGAGGUAACGGCUCACCAAGGCGACGAUGGGUAGCCGGCCUGAGAGGGUGAUCGGCCACACUGGAACUGAGACACGGUCCAGACUCCUACGGGAGGCAGCAGUGAGGAAUUUUGCGCAAUGGGCGAAAGCCUGACGCAGCGACGCCGCGUGGAGGACGAAGGUCUUCGGAUCGUAAACUCCUGUCGAGCGGGACGAAAUCUGGACGGAUGAAUAAGUCGUUCAGUUGACGGUACCGCUGGAGGAAGCCCCGGCUAACUCCGUG
rnacentral:rRNA from 1 species